rnacentral:tmRNA from 1 species
GGGGCUGAUUCUGGAUUCGACGGGAUUGACGAAACCCAAGGUGCAUGCCGAGGUGAGGCUGGCCUCGUAAAAAGCCUCAAAAAAAAUAAUUGCAAACGACUCGCAAUUCGAACGUGCUGCUUUAGCAGCUUAAUCAGCCUAAGAAACUGAACGCUCCCUCUCUCCCUAGCCUCCGCUCUUAGGACGGGGAUCAAGAGAGGUCAAACCCAAAAGAGAUCGCGUGGAUGUCCUGCCUGGGGCUGAAGCGUUAAACUCAAUCAGGCUAGUUUGUCAGUAGCGUGUCCAUCCGCAGCUGCCAGGCGAAUGUAAUGAUUGGACUAAGCAUGUAGUACCGAGGAUGUAGAAAUUCCGGACGCGGGUUCAAAUCCCGCCAGCUCCACCA